UACGGAGGGAGCUAGCGUUGUUCGGAAUUACUGGGCGUAAAGCGCGCGUAGGCGGCUUUGUAAGUUAGAGGUGAAAGCCCGGAGCUCAACUCCGGAACUGCCUUUAAAACUGCAUCGCUUGAAUCCAGGAGAGGUGAGUGGAAUUCUGAGUGUAGAGGUGAAAUUCGUAGAUAUUCGGAAGAACACCAGUGGCGAAGGCGGCUCACUGGACUGGUAUUGACGCUGAGGUGCGAAAGCGUGGGGAGCAAACAGG
rnacentral:rRNA from 1 species